GUCCCUGUAGUUUAAAGGAUAGAACCGGGGUUUCCUAAACCCCAAAUCCCAGUUCGAUUCUGGGCGGGGACACAA
rnacentral:tRNA from 1 species